GAUACCCCACUAUGCCUAGUCUUAAACUUAGAUAGGUCAUUACAUGCACACUAUCCGCCCGGGAAUUACGAACACAAGUUUGAAACCCAAAGGACUUGGCGGUGCUUAACAACCCCCUAGAGGAGCCUGUUCUAGAACCGAUAACCCUCGUUAAACCUCACCCCCUCUUGUUCAAUCCGCCUAUAUACCGCCGUCGUCAGCUUACCCUGUGAAGGACUCGCAGUGAGCAUAAUCAGUCUAACUCAAAACGUCAGGUCGAGGUGCAGCAAAUGAGGGGGCAAGAAAUGGGCUACAUUUCCUACAAUAAGGAAACACGUCCGGUGCCCUGAAAGAAGGCACUGCUGAAGGUGGAUUUAGUAGUAAGAGGGGAAUAGAGUGCCCCCCUGAAGCCGGCCCUUAAGCGCGCACACACCGCCCGU
rnacentral:rRNA from 1 species